rnacentral:rRNA from 1 species
GUCCACGCCGUAAACGUUGUACACUAGGUGUCGGGGGUUUCAACGCCCUCGGUGCCGCCGCUAACGCAUUAAGUGUACCGCCUGGGGAGUACACCCGCAAGGGUGAAACUCAAAGGAAUUGACGGGGGCCCGCACAAGCGGUGGAGCAUGUGGUUUAAUUCGACGAUACGCGAAGAACCUUACCUGGGCUUGACAUCUAGUAGACGGGCAUGGAGACAUGCCUUCCUUUAUGGCUGCUAGACA